CGGGUGAGUAACGCGUGAGUAACCUGCCUUACACAAGGGGAUAGCCUCUGGAAACGGAGAAUAAUACCCUACGAAACUAUCUUAUCGCAUGAAAAGAUAGUCAAAGUGUUUUAGCGGUGUAAGAUGGACUUGCGUCUGAUUAGCUAGUUGGUGAGAUAACAGCCCACCAAGGCAACGAUCAGUAGCCGGCUUGAGAGAGUGUACGGCCACAUUGGGACUGAGACACGGCCCAG
rnacentral:rRNA from 1 species